GACACUAUUCGCCAUCCUUUGGAAGAAACUGAGGGUGGUGCCUGAAUUCAGGUCAGUUCAUUUCGCUAUGAAAUUGAUUGCUAGCAUAAAACGCCAUCGUUUUGACACUAGACGCCAUCCAUUGCAAUUUCGCGCAUAGGCAAGAACAGAGAUUCUCCUUGCCUUGACAGUGAAGCAGAAGACAUCCACCUAACGGUAAAAACAGAAUCAUAUAUGCUCGCUCUUUCUCUACCUAAUAAUUCAUCAGCUCCUCUCUCUCUCUCUCUCU
rnacentral:misc_RNA from 1 species